CCCUUCCGCCGUACAGAACUGUGCUGUAACCGCGUCACCCAGCUUGUCCUGUCUGACCCGGUCGUGCCAGCAGAGUCCACGGCGGAAGGAGAGAGACGGCUCUGCGCCGCGAACGGAGCGCGGCCGGACCGCUUUCUUAAUGUCCGGUGGCCGUGGCUCCGAGGCGCAGAGCUACAGAC
ensembl:snoRNA small nucleolar RNA SNORA81